GGGGAUAUAGCUCAGCUGGUAGAGUGCUUGACUAGCAUGCACAAGACCCUGGGUUCAAUGCCCAGCACCACCA
rfam:Ictidomys tridecemlineatus contig116936, whole genome shotgun sequence.